CGCCGCAGCAGGGACAGACCCCCGUGUCAGCACUGGGGGCGGCUGGGGACAGAAGGGUUUCUCAUUUAUGUUUAGUUGCAAAACUAACUCAGGUUUUAAAACCCGUCAGCUCAUCGCUUGGCUUGUUUGUUUUGCUCGUCUCGUUCCGGAGAAAAGUCCGCUCGCAGUGUUUGGGCAGGGAUGGCUUCUCACCCGGCACGACAGGGGGCUGUAAUCCAGCACCGCUCCUUAGCAGCUAAAAGCCUGGGAGAACGGGAAUGCUGAGUUGUUAUCCAGGUGAUGCAAUGAAAGAAUCAGGCUUUCAGAAGCAGUCCUUUGGGGACAGAGAUCAUCUUCUUGUUUGACAUUUUGUGGGAAUGAGUUUGUGUUUGCAGAGCACUAAAUCUCUACUCCUUGGCUAUGGAGUUCUGGGAAGUGCUUUUGCUGGGGACUGCAGUCCUGGGCUUGUGUUUGCUUCCUAUAGGUAAUGAAUUAAACCUGGAAUUAGUCCAUCUUCUU